rnacentral:rRNA from 1 species
AGGACGAACGCUGGCGGCGUGCUUAACACAUGCAAGUCGAACGGAAAGGCCCUUCGGGGUACUCGAGUGGCGAACGGGUGAGUAACACGUGAGCAAUCUGCCCCUAGCUCUGGGAUAGCUCCGGGAAACCGGGAUUAAUACCAGAUAUCACUACGGCCGACAUCAGCUGUGGUGGAAAGAAUUUCGGCUAGGGAUGAGCUCGCGGCCUAUCAGCUUGUUGGUGGGGUAAAGGCCCACCAAGGCGACGACGGGUAGCCGGCCUGAGAGGGCGACCGGCCACACUGGGACUGAGACACGGCCCAGACUCCUACGGGAGGCAGCAGUGGGGAAUAUUGCGCAAUGGGCGAAAGCCUGACGCAGCGACGCCGCGUGCGGGAUGAAGGCCUUCGGGUUGUAAACCGCUUUCAGCAGGGACGAAGCGAAGUGACGGUACCUGCAGAAGAAGCGCCGGCUAACUACGCGCCAGCAGCCGCGGUAA